GCUGGGAUGAUGUAGUUGGUUAUCACGUCUGUCUAACACACGAAGGUUUCAUUGCCUCCCUGUGUGUGCACAGAAGGUCCCGAGUUCAAGUCUCGAUCCUAGUA
rnacentral:tRNA from 1 species